AUGAUUAGUGGCGGACGGGUGAGUAACAUUUAGGAAUCUGCCUAGUAGUGGGGGAUAGCUCGGGGAAACUCGAAUUAAUACCGCAUACGACCUACGGGUGAAAGGGGGCGCAAGCUCUUGCUAUUAGAUGAGCCUAAAUCAGAUUAGCUAGUUGGUGGGGUAAAGGCCCACCAAGGCGACGAUCUGUAACUGGUCUGAGAGGAUGAUCAGUCACACCGGAACUGAGACACGGUCCGG
rnacentral:rRNA from 1 species